UAUGUUGAAACACCCACGCGCGGAUCCACUUCCUUUCCCGUUUUCCCAGCCGUAGACGCGUAGAGAGAGAGAGAGAAGAGGCGAUUUCAGAAGAACCACACGAACGAUCCAAGAACGACGAGGACGAACGGGCUGCCAAGCAAUUAACAGAGAUUUCUCUCUUUUGCUUACGGUGCAAGAAAGAGGUAUUUACCUAUUAUUCAACAAUGCUGGAAGAAGAAGUGAAUAGAUGUCAGAUUCAAGAAUGGUACCCGAAAUUCAAAUCCGUCUCUAUAAGAACCUUAAUUCAUGAACUUCCAGAAUCCUUUGUUCAGUACCUUCGUGAUGAUUCCGGGCCCUUCCUUCUUCCUCUUUCCAUCUCAAACGAAGAUGCCUUGCCCAAUAGAAUCCAUAACCCAGAAGAGGAAGAAGAUUUUGUAGUAUCAGAAGGAUCCGGCGAUGAAUCAGAAAAAAAUUCUUCACCACCUUCAUUCCCAGAACUUGAAUUCCAGAUCAAGGAAUCAAUUGAGACCCUUGGGGGUGCUGUUUUUCCUAAGCUGAACUGGAGUUCACCUAAAGACUCCGCUUGGAUCAGCUCCACUGGGACCCUCAAGUGCACCUCUUUCAGUGAAAUUGCACUUUUGCUACGAUCUUCCGUUUCACUCGUCCAUGAUCUUUGUCAUGCAUAUGAUUCUUGCAUUAAUAAAACUUCAUCAAGACCAUCAAAUUUCUUCCUAGCCCUUCGAAAGUGGGCCCCCUCCCUCCGGCCGGAGAUGGAAUUUCGUUGCUUUGUGUGUGUUCAUCAACUAGUUGGCAUUUCCCAACGUGAGGUCACAGGGUUUUAUCCAUCUAUUUGUGAGCAGAAAAAUGAGCUAAAAAUGGCGAUUCAGGAGUUUUUUACUGAUGAAGUGAGGCUAAAAUUUGAUUUGGAGAAUUACACCUUUGAUGUUUAUGUUAGAGAGGACGGUCGGGUUAAGCUUUUGGAUUUUAACCCUUGGGGUGCAUUUACGCUUCCACUGUUGUUUACUUGGGAGGAAUUGGGGAAGGAUAGUGAAGAUGGAAAUACAUUAGAGUUUAGGAUGGUAGAGAGUCAGUGUGGUGUAAGGCCAGGACUAAAAACUGCAGUUCCCUAUGAUUAUUUGGAUACAAGUGAAGGGAGUGGUUGGGAUCAGUUCUUGAGGAAUGCCGAGGAAGAGUUGUGGCGACAGACUCUGUCCUCGUCUGAUGGGUGAUUAAGAGCUUUGUUGUCCCUAUUUACGAGGUGUUUGAGCUAGAAGAAUCGGAAGAGAAAAGAUCAACCUUGGAAUUCUUCAUCAACCAAUGGAAAUGGAGACCAUAAGAAAGAAUGAUACAGUUGACAAUGUGGCUUCUCCAAAUAAAUCCUCGAAAUUGCCGGAGUUUGUUAAAGAUGGUAUUGAUGAUGAUCAAUUAAAUCCUGCUAUGAAGGAAGAAAUUGACAGGGAAGUGGAGGAUUUCCCAAGAAGAUUAAACUCCGUUUCGCCAAAAAUAAUGCAGGAGAUCGAGUGUGUCUUUGGGAAAUGAGAGGCUUGUUCCAAUAUUUGUGUACGACAGGGGUUCGUUGAAGAGAAACUGCACACCGAAGGGCUACUGAUACACUCUCCUGCCCACAAAAAUUAUCACAUGGUGCCCACAAAAAAUAUGAACUUAUUAUGACAUGGUACCCAUAAAAGUUAUAGACAUUGCUGCCUUUGUUAAUGCAAUCUUUAUCAUUCGUAAUUCGUUGGCUGACUUGUAAACUUAUUAUCACAUGGUACCCACAAAAAUUAUCUAUAUAUCUAUAUAAUAAGGGAGCUCAGUACCCCUGGUCUUCGCCAA